rnacentral:rRNA from 1 species
UUGCCUACGGGAGGCAGCAGUGAGGAAUAUUGGUCAAUGGGCGGAAGCCUGAACCAGCCAAGUCGCGUGAGGGAUUAAGGCCCUGCGGGUCGUAAACCUCUUUUGCCGGGGAGCAGAGGUCCGGACGUGUCCGGGCCGGGAGAGUACCCGGAGAAAAAGCAUCGGCUAACUCCGUGCCAGCAGCCGCGGUAAUACGGAGGAUGCGAGCGUUAUCCGGAUUUAUUGGGUUUAAAGGGUGCGUAGGCGGAAUGCCAAGUCAGCGGUAAAAUCGCGGGGCUCAACCUCGCUCCGCCGUUGAAACUGGC